CCUACGGGGGGCAGCAGUGGGGAAUAUUGCACAAUGGGGGAAACCCUGAUGCAGCGACGCCGCGUGAGUGAAGAAGUAUUUCGGUACGUAAAGCUCUAUCAGCAGGGAAGAAAAUGACGGUACCUGACUAAGAAGCCCCGGCUAACUACGUGCCAGCAGCCGCGGUAAUACGUAGGGGGCAAGCGUUAUCCGGAUUUACUGGGUGUAAAGGGAGCGUAGACGGCAGCGCAAGUCUGGAGUGAAAUCCCAUGGCUUAACCAUGGAACUGCGUUGGAAACUGUGCAGCUAGAGUGCAGGAGAGGUAAGCGGAAUUCCUAGUGUAGCGGUGAAAUGCGUAGAUAUUAGGAGGAACACCAGUGGCGAAGGCGGCUUACUGGACUGUAACUGACGUUGAGGCUCGAAAGCGUGGGGAGCAAACAGGAUUAGAUACCCCAGUAGUC
rnacentral:rRNA from 1 species